CACAGAGGAAGGAGUGAGUAGCUUUGCUUUCCUGAGGAGACAGCGUUUGAGUUGGCUUGUAAAAGUUCUCAAUGGUGUUCACUCGUUGAAGAUUAAACCAUGGGAAGCUUUCCACUCAGCACCAUCCACUGGCUGGCACAGAGCUUUUGGCGGAUGUGGUGCUCCACAAAUGGUGGUGGUAGAAGAAGAUUCUGACUUUGAUCAUGGCCAUGUCGUGUCUGAGGUGGGCAGAGAUCUUCUAACUCUCUUUCCUGGCCAGCAAUGGAAACAGACAACUUACCGUGCUCACUACAUUCCAGGCACUGUUGUACGUUAACUCAUCCAGUUAUCUCAGCAACCCAACAAGGGGAUAAUCAAUUCAGAGCCUUGGUGUGUUGUCACAUUGGACACUUUCCUCCACUACUGUGUCAGCUCAGACCCACAGCACCAGAAUGGUACCAGGUACUUAAGAGGUUCUCGUUGAAAGGUGAAUGCAUGGUGGAGAAAGAAGCAAUCCCUGCUCUUAGAAAGUGUCUCCUGUGAGUGGCUAGAAAUGAGGGAAGCUAGACUCAAUGUGUAGACAAGGGCUGCCUGUCAUUGCUCUGUACGCUUAACAGUCUACCUGGGGAGAACAGAGAUACCAAGGGACAAUGAGGACAAGAGGAAGCAAAAUCUCCUUCAGAACAAGAAGAAGGUGUCUACACUUUUACCUCUGCCUGCCUGGUACACGCACCCCAGUUGCCUCACCAGAAUAAUUCCUACUUAUCAGCUCAGGACUUGCCUUCCCUGAUCACAACACUGGGUUUAGGAGACCCUCCUACACUGGAUUCAGGAGUCCCUCCAUAGUAUUCCCUUGCGACCCCACACUACCUCACCUCACUGAUUCAUAAUUUAGAGCAGUUUGUAUGCACCCUUAUCAUCUCCAGGGAGCCAUGAGAGCUUAGAGAGAAGACUGUAUGCACCUUCAGUCUUCAAUGACCAUAUGCUCUAAUUCUAACACACCUGGUAGAACGAAUCACUUGGAGAUUUCUGUCAACACCACCAAUAUAUGUAGUUUGAAAUCGUUACUUAGCAUAGAUUAUGGGAUUCACUGAUGGAGAGCUAAUGUACCAGAUCUUGAAUGGAAUAGAAUAUCAAUACCAAUCUAUAAACAUUUAUUUGUUGGAAUAGACCAUCCAUUCAUUUAUUCAUAGACCAACUCAUUCUUUCAAUAAAUAUUUAUUAAGCACCCAUAGUUUAUGACUCAUUUUGUUCAUUCAUUUGUUCAUUCAUUCAACACACAUUUACUGAGUGCCUGUUAAGUGUUAAAACUGUGGAUGUACUGGUGAAGGUAAUAGGAAUGUUUUUCCUAU
rnacentral:lncRNA from 1 species